rnacentral:ncRNA from 2 species
CAUUAUGUGCGUGUCGACGGUUCCCCGACCAUGAGGUGGAGGGGAUUAAUAGGGAACACGGUGCGGAAGACCCCAGGAGGGGCCAAGACCGUGGCUGCCCCCGCAACUGUGAGCGGAUUGCCUUUCGUCCCCGGACAUCGAAACGAUGUCGUGCCACUGUGCCGCAAGGCGCGGGAAGGUAGACGAAAGGCAGAUAUCUGCGAGCCAGGAGACCUGCCGUCGCGCUUUGAUCCAA